UUUUUUCUUUUUUUUUUUUUUUUUUUGGCAGGGUCUUGCUCUGUUGCCUAGGAUGGAGUGCAGUGGUGUGAUCUCAACUUACUGCAGCCUCAACCUUCCAGGCUCAAUAUACCCUCCCAUCUCAGUCUCCCUGGUAGCUGGGACUACAAGUGCAUGCCACCACAACCCCAGCUAAUUUUUGUUUUUUUUUUUUUGUAGAGACAGGAUUCUCCAUGAGGUCCUGAACUCUUGGGCUCAAGCAAUCCACCUGCCUCAGCUUCCCAAAGUGCUGAAAUUACAGGUAUGUGUGACCUUGCCCAGCCCAAACAUCAUUUUGGGUGCGUCUGUGAGGGUAUUUCUGGAUGACAUUAAAAUUUGAAUGUAAACUGGGUAAAACAAAUUGCCCUCCCUAAUGUGGGUGGGCCUUAUGCAAUCCAUUGAAGGACCGACUAGAACUAAAAGGCUGAGUAAGACAGAAUUCUUUCUGCCUUGGAGCUGAAACAUUAGUUUGCUUCCUGUCUGUGAACUCUAACUGAAACCUUGGCUCUUCCUGUGUCUCAAGCCUGCUGGCCUUCAGACUGGAACUACAACCACUGGCUCUUCUCAUUCUCAGGGCUUUAGCCUGGAACUGGGACUACACUAUCAGUUCUCCUGGGUCUCCAGCUUGUCAACUGUAACUCGAGGCUUAUCAGACUCUAUAAUUGUAUAAAUCAAUUACACACACACACACACACACAUACACACACCCCUCCUAUUGGUUCUGUUUCUCUGGAGAACUCUAAGAGUUGAUUUCCAUUUUUUUAAACACUCAACGUUUAUUUAAAUUUAUCAACACAUUUGCCGUAUUUCCUUUUUCAGCAUUGCUUCUUGAAUCCCAUUCUCUGCUUUUGGAUUCAAUAUCCUUGUUACUGAAGCAUUUCAUUUAUUAGUUCUUUCAUCUGAAAUCCGUGAGCAGUAAAAAUGUUUUAGUCUUGCCUUAUGUAAAAAUAUCUGUACUUAGUUCUCACUCUUGAAUAAUAAUAAAACAUAGUAUACAAUUACAGGCUAAGGGUCAUUUUAAUUCAACUCUGGAGAUUCUACUCUCUCGGGAUCUACCGUUACUUAUAAGCACUCUAAUGUCAGUCUAAAACUAAUCCCUAUAUAUGUAAUUUGUCUUUUUAUCUCUGAUUACUUUUAAUAUUUUAUUUGACAUUCAAUGGUUUCAUCACUGUGUGCCUAGAUGUGGCUAUUUGUAUUUCGUCUGCUUGGAAUUAGUUGUUUCAUGAAGCUAAGAAUAUAUGCCUUUAACCAAUUUGAAAAAUUCUGAGUCAUUACAGCUUUGUCCUCUAUUCUCUCCUCUGAAACUGGUAUUAGACAUCUGUUAGAAGAUCUUAUUCUAUCCUCUAUGUCUCCUACUCUCACAAAGUGUUUGUAUUUCCCCUCUCUUCAUCCUUGUGUCAUAUUAAGGAUGCUUUCCUUAGAGUCACCCUAGAAUUCACUAAAUUUUCUUGUAAUCUAAUUCUUCUAAUUUUCUCCUAAUCUUUUUGUCUAAUACAUCACUCAGCUAAUGAGCUUCUCAAUGACUGUUAUUUCAUUUCUACAUUUUAUUUUUUAAAAAUCUGCUCUUACAAAAUUCUAUACCUUUAUUUAUUCAGUUAUUUUUAUUUACUCAGUUUAUAUAUAUAUGCAAAUAUAUAAAAUGUUUAGAUUUUAUACUUUAUAUACUUUGUCUUAUAGUUUAUAGUGUCAUUUCCUUAUCUCUAGUUCAUGGUAUUCUAUUUUUCUUUCUUUCUCUGUCUCUGUCCACUUCUCCAUGGUAAUUGGUCUCCUCCAUUGGCUUGUAAAUUUUUAUUGGGAGCUUAUUUUCAGCAAGAAUUGUUUGACCUGCACUGUAGAAUUAACCAUGACAACGUAGUUUCAUGUUUAGUUUUGCAAAGACCAGUUUUAUUGUUAAUUUCUUUGCUUGGCCUUUCUGCAGUAAACAGGAGCAUAAAUUUGGACCCAACCCCACAAAUAGUGCUGACUUAUUUCUAAUUUCUAUUUGUUCUCUCAAUACUGCACAACCCAAGGCCACAUCCACCAAGCAAGCUUCCUUGCCAUUUUCUCCAAGAAAGUAGAGUUUUUCUAGUCCUUUUUAUAUGGUUUGAGCUAUACAUGGAAGCUCAAUUCCGGCUCUUAGUUGCAUAUCUGUCCCCUGGGGAGUUCAAAACCCAAGCCCAGCCCCUCGUGUCUAUAUCUGAAGUUAGCAAUUUCUGUAGAUCAUUCUGAAUACAGGUUCUUUCUCCAUUUCUGAUACCCAAAGAUUUUACUUCUCUUGUUUAUACCUGGUCACAUAUCUUUUAAAGUUUUAAAAAUUUUGUCUAUCAUUUCUAUCUUUUUCAUGGAAAUAUGGCCCACUAACAAAAGCUCACUCUGCCGUGUUGUUGAAAUUUUUGAAGGCCCUUUAGUAAUAAGUUCAGGGGAAUACUUAUUUACUUUUUUGUUUGUUAACUUUCUUUGGAGCCAGAGUUAUAAAACUAUACUUAAAAAGAUCCUUCUAAGAAGUUGGACUCCCAAACAACAGAAAGAAGGGCAAGUGACAGGCAUACGGACAGGAUGGGGAGUGCAAUCACCUAAACUACUACUAAGGACCUGCCUACUGUUAUGGCAUCUGGGAAGCCAGGGAAAAGGGAGAAUGGUCAUUGGUGGCUAUAAAAUGCAUUGUUAUCCUGAUUCCUCCAACAGCUGCCAUGAUGUCUCAGGCCAAAGCACUGUGCUAAUCAUCAAGCUUGGGAAAGAAGACAACUUGUUUCUGUGGAUGUGAGAAUCAGUUCUAUUAGAUUCUCAAAUAUAACCCUCCGUUUUUUGGGUAGAGUGCUUUAAACAAUUUCUCAACAUGCUCAUUAUUUGGCAAUUUGGCCUUGGCUCAGUGGAGACAAUUUGCUCUUCCUGUGGUCUCCACUGGGGUGCAUCACCUGGGUGCUGAAGGAUUCACUUUGGUGGCGGCUCACUUGCAUGUCUGCCAUGUGGGUGAGGGGCCCUGGCUUCCUGACACAAGACUUAGAGAAGUAAGGCUUCCCUAAGGUCUGUUUGGGCUUCUCCUUGAAAAGGUUGGUGGGUUCCAAGAGCAAGCAUCCCCAGAUAAUGAUGCAUAAGUUUAAGACCUCUUAUGAUCUAGACUUGAAAGUCAUAUAACAGGACCAAUAUUUUUAUUUACAUCUUCCUCAAAAGAAGAAAAAUAUGUCUUCCUUGAAAAAAGGUAAACUAGGAAAGACAUGCAGAAUAACACUUUCAAACAGACAGGCAGUAAGGAUAAGCGGUUAUGAGCAGAGUCUAGAAUCAGACAGACUUGGUUCGAGGCCUGGCUCUUCCAGCUACUAGUCAUGUUAUCUUAACAAGUUAAUGUUGACACCUCUCAGUAUCCUUGUUUGUAAAAGAGAAUAACAUUGGUGCUUACCUUGCAGGGCUGUUGUGAAGAUGAAAUAAAAUAACACACUGUUAUGAACUUGGGCUGUUUGAGACUUGGGAUGUUAUAGUUGAUUUGAUGAGAUGUUUAUAAAGUCAGGGCCCUGCCAUAGGCUUGAGAGACAGCCAGAAGUCAAUCUAUUCAACAGGCAAAAUUUGCCAAUGCCAGAUUGAUACUCCCAUCUUACAUCCCCACUCCCCCACCCCAGCCCAUACACACAUACACACUCUUUUGUGGCACUCAGUGCACAAUCCACUACUAAAAGUGGGCUUGAAAAGAACUAGGUAGAAGUCCUUUCUACUUCUGUGUGUAUUAGGUGAAUGUGUUGUCACUCUUGGAAACUUUGUUAUUUAAGUCUUGUCUAUAACGACAUAAUAGAAGAAUUUUCCCCCAGCUAAGGGCAUUUCAAGUAUUAGCAACCAAGCAAGUAAAGACUUUCCCAAGAAUAACUAAUAUCACAUCCAUUUUUAUAGCUCUUGCUUUCCUUAGCAUGAGGUCAGAGAAGUAGCCAGCUACUGCUAGAAGAAACUGAGGCAAACAAGCAGGUGAAACAUCUGCGCUCUCAAGAUCCCGAAAGUCCUGCCUACUGCAAAGAAUGCCUUUUGAUUAGGCUGCACUUGAACUAAAACAAAAACAAGACCAUAUAUCGUUGGGAUCCCUAAUCUAAGAUCUCAAAUAGGUUUAAGCAAGAUAGGGGAACUAGUAUGGACUGAUUGUGUACUGGAUGGCAGCAGUCAGGGAGAAGAAAGGAUGUGUGAAGGAAGGACAGACAUAGGGAUAAAGAUGAGAAGGAAAAGUCAUGCACAGUCAGAGCUGUGUUGUGAGAGCCUAGUUCUCUCCCCACUUAAAACACACACACAAACAGACUCUGCAACUGAACAGCUGGAUGGAUAUGGAAACUGCUGCUGGCAAUACUCCCAAGGUACACCAGGAGCUUUGCCUCUUCAUGUGGCUGCCCCAGGGGCUGAACUCCAAGACAGCAAAGCCUAAAUACCAAUUAGUAUUUCAUCUUUUCUUCCAAUGAUGGUUUAACGCCUUUGGAUAUCAUGGUCACUAAAGUCCCAAGCUACAUCUCCACAGGGGUUGACCUGCCAGUGUCUUUCCUGAACAAUUUCCAUAUUGCCAGUGGCCUGCAGGAGCCUACUUGCCCUUGCAGUUGGAACUACUCCUCAAGAAUUCUAAGCACUAGCCCACUGGCUCUCCCACUGCAUAAAAGUGAAAUCUAAAGCAGUUUGAUCUCAUUUGACAAUCUGAAUAAGAAAUAUCUUUUAACAUUAGGGAAUCCUAUAGGGACAAAUUAAAUUAUUCUCUCCAACUAGCACAUAAUCAUGUAAGAAAUAACUUAGACUAGAGCUAUCAAAUAUAAAAGUAUUAUGUAAGGACAAGAGGAAGAUAUCUCCAAAGCAUGAGUGUUCAGACUGAUCGGAACCUUGUCUCAGGCAACUUGCAGCCUUAUAGCCGCUAUAUGCCACCAAUCCUUAUCCAACAAGCACACAUUCAACAAACAUUGAGAAAGCACCUGGUUAAUGCUAUGAAUAUACUGAAUUCUUCUCCACACUCACACACACAACUUCCAAAUCUGGAAUUUUUUUUCCUG